rnacentral:lncRNA from 1 species
UUUUUACUUUUUCCUUUUCAAUCUAUAUGCCUUUUAUUUUUCUUGUUAUAUUGCACUGGUUAGGACCUUUGGCACAAUGUUAAAUAGACGUAGUAAGAACAGACAUUCUUGCUUCUCAAUUGCAGAGGGAAAGUAUUCAGCCUUCGAUCAUUAACUAUGAUGUCACUGAGGUGAUCAUAUAGUGGGGCUCCCCCCUCUUUUUGGUUUGUUAAUAUGGAGAAUCACAUGAGCUGAUUUUCAAACAUUCCUCCAACCUGACAUUUCUGGGUAAACCCCACUUGGUCAUGAUGAAAUAUCCUCUUAUGUACUGUUGGAUUUACUUAGCUAUAAUUUUGAUUAAAAUUAAAAUUUUUGGAUCAUGUUCAUGAUGCAUAUUGGUCUGUUUUGGACCAAGUUUUCUUUCUUGGAAUGUCUUCUAGUGGUACAGGGAUAUUUAGGUUAUCUAUUUCUUCUUGAAUGUGUCUCACACUCUUGCCUAAAGCCUCAGGGUCUUCCCCCAACACCUACCUAAAUCCUACUAGGGCUUACAGGCCCCUGUCUGGUCUGCCUGGUCCACCUCUCCAGCCUCAUCUACGUGCCACCCUCUGCUCACUCAACAUGUUCCGGUCAUAUUGGUCUUCUGGUUAUUCCAAAUUAACGCCAAGCUCUUCCCCAUCUCAAGGCCUCGGUAUCGCUUUUCACUCCAUCGGGAAAGCUCUUCCUCAGGCUCUUUGCACGUCUUUUUUCCCAUUCUCAUACCCUAAUUUUCAGAUUAUGUGUCAGGAAGGUCUUCCCUGACCAUUAGAUCCAGGGCAGGGCCUGAUGGAUAUGCUCUCCCACAAAAUCCCAUUUUCUUCCUUUAUAAUAUAAAUACCCCUAAGAGCAAGGAUCUUGCCUGUCUUGUUCAUUCCUAAGUCCCCCGCACCUGGCAUAACAGUGGGCACAAUGUGUUCAGUUACUAUUUGUUGAAUGAGCAGACUUAAUUACCUGGUUGAAUCAGUCAGGCUGCACAUCAGGUAGGCAGUGUGUCUUCUGUGAGCUUGCUGGUCAGUCUGAGGUUUUCAAUGAGCCUGGCGUAGGUAGAUCAGGUAGGCUUUGAGUGCUCCGUGGGGUGGGUCUGUGUGAUUGACAAGUCAAUCUCCUAUGAAACCAGCUAGGACCGUAGGGGACACAAAGGAAUAAAAAGCCCACCUUCAAGAAGUAUCUGGUCACCUGUCUACUUGGGGUUCACUGCUCCCCAAGUGAAGUGAGGGUGGUACAGGGUGAACAGGGAGAAGGCUACAGAGUGUGACCCAAUCUCUGGCAGCCAUUCCUCAGCAACUGUGCUGCAGGGCUUCCAAGCCCCAUAAAUGCUUUACCUGGUCACUGUUGUGCUUAGGAAGAGCCUGUGCAGGAGACAGAGAGGAGCUUUGUGGCUUUUCUCCACCCCACCUCCCAACCUCCCCUGACCUGGGCUUUCUGCUCAUGGAAACUCCCCCAAUGGACCUGGCUGUCUGGCCCCAGGAGACAGGCGGUGGUGCACGUUGCCACUGCCCGUUCUCCAGGUGGCAGGAUGUGGGCCUGUACUUCCUGGGGCCACUCCUUACAAAUCAACCCAUCCUGAUGCACCCCCCACCCUGCUCUAGACCAGAGAGGCCCAGCUAUCUGGUUGAGGAAGAAGCCCCAUGGAAUCUGGGGACUUCUCGGUUAAUCACAAGUUUCCCCAGGCAUACUCCUGGCUGUAGGGUCAUGGGUUUGGCUAGAGUCCCGUCAUGGAUGAGUAUGUGUAGGAGAGUGUCCGAACCACUUGUGUGGGGAGCAGCUGUUUGCAAUAACUGGGCAGCAGCACCUAGGCCACCGGCAAUCACUGCGCCUCCAUCCUGCUCACCAACAAACUCCAACACCAGGAGGCCCUGCUCUGGUGACAUCAUCCUCCUCGCACAGUGCUGAGGGAAAUGAGCUCAGGGCGGCCAUCGGAGGCAGUCUGUUUACUUACAAAAGACCCUGGCCGUCAGCACCUCUUUGACCAGACAUUCCCUGUCCUAGCCAGCAUGAAGCAGAAAUUUCCUUAAACACAUUACUUUGGACACAACCCACUUGUGCCCUUGUUUUCAAAUUUUUUUUUUUUUUAAAGAGGAAAAUUCCCAGUUCUGGCCCCAAUUAGAGAAGCCCAAUAAUGAUGGGGGGAGAGCAAAGUAACCCCCUGAGGAGGCUUUUGCAGGCGUGUUUCUCCCAGCUCCCCAGUAAUCCCUGGAGCUGAAAGAUCAUCAAACUACUUCUCAAGUCACCCAGAUGUGUGUGAGGUCAGAGGGAUGGCCAGCAUGACCUCAAGGGCAGACCCUCUUCUUGAGGGCCUCCCUCAGGGCCUCAGCCACCCUGAGCUCAUACUUAGAGCAUUUCUCAACUCAGCAGCCCUGGCUAGGCCCUAGACCCCUCCCUCAUUCCCUCCAGGUCAGGGAUAUUUCAGGAGAGCCCAAGAGCUGCCAGAUUUCACAGGCUCCAGGGGAUUCCCAAGAUGGUCACCCCCACCAGCCCGGGCUGAGAGACGCUGUCACCUGCCCUUCCCCAACUCUCUCCGUGUUAUUCCUGCUGGAACGCAGCCAUUCCAGAAGACUUGAGGGGACAGGUCUCCCCAGGACCCUAAAGCCACUAGCACCAGGAGCAGAGGGAUGCCUUCCCAGGAAUACUGAUCAUGGACAA